ACGGGGGGACUCCUACGGGAGGCAGCAGUGGGGAAUCUUGGACAAUGGGCGCAAGCCUGAUCCAGCCAUGCCGCGUGAGUGAAGAAGGCCUUAGGGUCGUAAAGCUCUUUCAACGGUGAAGAUAAUGACGGUAGCCGUAGAAGAAACCCCGGCUAACUCCGUGCCAGCAGCCGCGGUAAU
rnacentral:rRNA from 1 species